rnacentral:rRNA from 1 species
GACGAACGCUGGCGGCGUGCCUAAUACAUGCAAGUAGAACGCUGAAGCGAGGAGCUUGCUCUUCUUGGAUGAGUUGCGAACGGGUGAGUAACGCGUAGGUAACCUGCCUUGUAGCGGGGGAUAACUACUGGAAACGAUAGCUAAUACCGCAUAACAAUGGAUGACUCAUGUCAUUUAUUUGAAAGGGGCAAUUGCUCCACUACAAGAUGGACCUGCGUUGUAUUAGCUAGUAGGUGAGGUAAUGGCUCACCUAGGCGACGAUACAUAGCCGACCUGAGAGGGGUAUCGGCCACGCUGGGACUGGGACACGGCCCAGACUCCUUAGGGAGGCAGCAGUAGGGAAUCUUCGGCAAUGGGGGCAACGCGGACCGGGCGACGCCGCGUGAGAGAAGGAUGUUUUUGGAUCGUAAAACUCUGUUGUAUGUCAAGAACGGGUGUGAGAGUGGAAAGUUCACACUGUGACGGUAGCUUAUCAGAAAGGGACGGCUAACUACGUG